UACGUAGGGGGCUAGCGUUGUCCGGAAUCAUCGGGCGUAAAGCGCGUGUAGGCGGCCCGGUAAGUCCGCUGUGAAAGUCGGGGGCUCAACCCUCGAAUGCCGGUGGAUACUGUCGGGCUAGAGUACGGAAGAGGCGAGUGGAAUUCCUGGUGUAGCGGUGAAAUGCGCAGAUAUCAGGAGGAACACCCAUUGCGAAGGCAGCUCGCUGGGACGUUACUGACGCUGAGACGCGAAAGCGUGGGGAGCAAACAGG
rnacentral:rRNA from 1 species